rnacentral:rRNA from 1 species
GAUGAACGCUGGCGGCGUGCCUAAUACAUGCAAGUCGAGCGAACGGACGAGAAGCUUGCUUCUCUGAUGUUAGCGGCGGACGGGUGAGUAACACGUGGAUAACCUACCUAUAAGACUGGGAUAACUUCGGGAAACCGGAGCUAAUACCGGAUAAUAUUUUGAACCGCAUGGUUCAAAAGUGAAAGACGGUCUUGCUGUCACUUAUAGAUGGAUCCGCGCUGCAUUAGCUAGUUGGUAAGGUAACGGCUUACCAAGGCAACGAUGCAUAGCCGACCUGAGAGGGUGAUCCGCCCACCUGGGACCGGGACCCCGUCCCGACUCCUUCCGGAGGCCGCAGUAGGGGAUCUUUCGCCAUGGGCCGAAGGCUUGCCGAGCCACGCCGCGUUGGUGAUGGAGGUCUUCGGAUCGUAAAACUCUGUUAUUAGGGAAGAAACCUAUGUGUAAGUUACUGUGCACCUCUUGACGGUACCUAAUCCGAAAGCCACGGCUAACUACGUG